CCGGCCUAAGCCACGACCCCUGGCCGCUGUGUUGCUGCUGCAUCCGCCGGGCACUCCAUUCUCCAACAUUAGGCCCGGGGUUUACAUCAGUCCUGGCUCCGCCACUGGAUGUAUGUGCAUCACGCGCCCGACGACGGAGUGCCUAGCAUGCAUUUUCUCCCAUCCAGUUCAUUUGAAUCGAGGGCUGUACACGAGAUGGUAUACGCCGGCGGCGGCGCGUCUUCUCAUAGCAAGACGCAGAUCAGUUUUCCCCAUAACGGCUAUGCCUACAAAACUCAAAGGACUUCGCUGACAACUCCGAUCACCCGACACUACGAUCCAGAUCUGGAAGAAUUGAUUUGUGCAUCAUGCAAGAUGCAUGCAUAAUAAACACGAUGGUGUAAUAUGAUGCACGUACAUAAUUUGGCUA